CUCCGGGUGGUCUAGUUGGUUCAUGGCGUCGGGCGUAAGCAUACCCACUAAAGCGUCUGUACGCACCACACACUAACUGAAUAAUUAGUGUAAUACGAGUUAUUAACCUGAAAGUCGCGUGUUCGAUUCACGCCCUGGAGA